rnacentral:rRNA from 1 species
UACGGAGGGGGCUAGCGUUGUUCGGAAUUACUGGGCGUAAAGCGCGCGUAGGCGGCUUUGUAAGUUAGAGGUGAAAGCCCAGGGCUUAACCCUGGAAUUGCCUUUAAGACUGCAUCGCUAGAAUCGUGGAGAGGUGAGUGGAAUUCCGAGUGUAGAGGUGAAAUUCGUAGAUAUUCGGAAGAACACCAGUGGCGAAGGCGACUCACUGGACACGUAUUGACGCUGAGACGCGAAAGCGUGGGGAGCAAACAGG